GUGGGGAAUAUUGCACAAUGGGCGCAAGCCUGAUGCAGCGACGCCGCGUGCGGGAUGACGGCCUUCGGGUUGUAAACCGCUUUUGACUGGGAGCAAGCCCUUCGGGGUGAGUGUACCUUUCGAAUAAGCACCGGCUAACUACGUGCCAGCAGCCGCGGUAAUACGUAGGGUGCAAGCGUUAUCCGGAAUUAUUGGGCGUAAAGGGCUCGUAGGCGGUUCGUCGCGUCCGGUGUGAAAGUCCAUCGCUUAACGGUGGAUCCGCGCCGGGUACGGGCGGGCUUGAGUGCGGUAGGGGAGACUGGAAUUCCCGGUGUAACGGUGGAAUGUGUAGAUAUCGGGAAGAACACCAAUGGCGAAGGCAGGUCUCUGGGCCGUCACUGACGCUGAGGAGCGAAAGCGUGGGGAGCGAACAGGAUUAGAUACCCUGGUAGUCCACGCCGUAAACGGUGGAUGCUGGAUGUGGGGACCAUUCCACGGUCUCCGUGUCGGAGCCAACGCGUUAAGCAUCCCGCCUGGGGAGUACGGCCGCAAGGCUAAAACUCAAAGAAAUUGACGGGGGCCCGCACAAGCGGCGGAGCAUGCGGAUUAAUUCGAUGCAACGCGAAGAACCUUACCUGGGCUUGACAUGUUCCCGACAGCCGUAGAGAUACGGUCUCCCUUCGGGGCGGGUUCACAGGUGGUGCAUGGUCGUCGUCAGCUCGUGUCGUGAGAUGUUGGGUUAAGUCCCGUAACGAGCGCAACCCUCGCCCUGUGUUGCCAGCACGUCGUGGUGGGAACUCACGGGGGACCGCCGGGGUCAACUCGGAGGAAGGUGGGGAUGACGUCAGAUCAUCAUGCCCCUUACGUCCAGGGCUUCACGCAUGCUACAAUGGCCGGUACAACGGGAUGCGAC
rnacentral:rRNA from 1 species